rnacentral:lncRNA from 1 species
GACCAGAGGCUGCAGACAGGCACGGCCUCGCCUGGUGCCCACGUUCCCGCCGCGCAGAUGAGAAGUGGGAAUCCGAGCCUCGUGUCACAUCUGUCUGACUUCACGGGGGGAUAACAAUGACGUUGUGGGGAGGGGCUCCCCGAGCGGAGUUCUGACCCUGGCCCUGCCCCUGAGCUGCAGGGUGGACGGAGGCCUAUCGAGGUUUCCCGUCUGACCGUGGAAGGUCUGGACGGGGCUCUCUCCGAGGCCCCUCCAGCUUUAGGACUAGGAGAGACCCCGGGCUGGGCUCAACCCACGCGGGCAAGCCCAGCCUCAGGCACCAAAGGAGCAGCCGCGGGCAGCGUCGCGAGGAAGGCUGCUACCCAGGGCCUGCCCCACACACCCCGGCCGCUCUCCCCGCUGCUGCCCAGGUGCCUGGCGUCCCGUCCUUCCACCACGAUGCCACAGCGAGUCCCUGUGUGGAAAUGCAGGACUUCUGUGAAGACGUCCUUUCCGUCUGAGAGGAAGGCACUUUCGUCCUGGGCAUGUCGCAGCUGGCUUGCGCUCCAGUGUUCCAGGUCGCUGUCCUGCAGGCAGAGCAGGCUGGCCAGGCCGCCUGGGAGCAGAGGGGUCCAUCGUUGGCAGGCGGAGAGCGGCUGGGGUGCCAGCUGCCGUAUGCCUCAUCUGGGGCUCUGGCUCCCGGACCUGGGCUUGAACCCUGGCAGCUGGUGACCUUUUGGGGUGCACCUGACUUCACCCUCCUGGAUCCGGGCCCCUCAUUUCCUGGGACUCUGCGGCACAGGCUGUUGGAGAUUCUUCUUCUGGAAGACGUGGGAUGCGCCCAGCUCCGCCAAGUGGGCACGUGCCCAGGAGCGGCCCAGAGGCGGGUGUGGGGAAGCGCCCCGCCUCUCCGGCUCCCGCUGCAGCCACCUCUGCCGCCCCCUCCCCGUCAGCGGCCUGUCUGGGGCUGAUGGCUGACAGGCAGGGAGCUGUCAUCCUUCUUCCGCCUAACGUCACCACCUCGUCCCCCUCCCCGGCCCCUCCUGGCUCUGGAUGUUUGUGGAGCUCCUCCUGAUUGGUGGGGGGAGUCCUCUGCACCAUCUGGACCCAAGGACACCGAGGACAGCCAGGCACCUGUCUCCCCGGCUGGGCUGGGCAGGUAGGCGACGUGGGCGGCCUUGGCACGGGAUGGUGCCUGGUGCACGUGGCGACGCCGUUUCUGUCCUCAGGGGCCCUGCCUGAGGGGGUCAGGGUGAGCACGCCGUCCUGGGUCCCCACCAGAGAUGAGCUGCGCCACACGGGCAAAACGGGGUGCCCCGGCACGAAGACGGGGCUCGGCUGACGGCGUCACAUGCAGAGCAGCAUCGAGGUCCCUCCUGGCCCAGGGAGCCCCCGCAGGCUCCUCUGACCCCUGGCCCUCGUCCUCACCCUCCGCUGCCUCCCUCCCG